GACGUAGGGCGCGAGCGUUGUCCGGAUUUAUUGGGCGUAAAGAGCUCGUAGGCGGUCUGUCGCGUCGGCUGUGAAAUCCCGAGGCUCAACCUCGGGUCUGCAGUCGAUACGGGCAAACUAGAGUAUUGCAGGGGAGACUGGAAUUCCUGGUGUAGCGGUGAAAUGCGCAGAUAUCAGGAGGAACACCGGUGGCGAAGGCGGAUCUCUGGGCCAUUACUGACGCUGAGACGCGAAAGCGUGGGGAGCGAACAGG
rnacentral:rRNA from 1 species